rnacentral:misc_RNA from 1 species
AGCAGCCGCGGUAAUUCCAGCUCCAAUAGCGUAUAUUAAAGUUGUUGCAGUUAAAAAGCUCGUAGUUGAAUUUUGGAUUCUGCCAAUUGGUCCAUCUUUUAGAUGAGUACUGGUUGUGUGGGGUCUAUCCGCCUGGUGAUACGUAAUGUCCUUUAUUGGAUGUUGCGGGUAGUCAGGACCUUUACCUUGAAAAAAUUAGAGUGUUUAAAGCAGGCUUAUGCCGGAAUACAUUAGCAUGGAAUAAUAGAAUAGGACGAAGUUGUUUUAUUUUGUUGGUUUCUAGGACAACCGUAAUGAUUAAUAGGGAUAGUUGGGGGCAUUAGUAUUCAAUUGUCGGAGGUGAAAUUCUUGGAUUUAUUGAAGACUAACUACUGCGAAAGCAUUUGCCAAGGAUGUUUUCAUUAAUCAAGAACGAAAGUUAGGGGAUCGAAGACGAUCAGAUACCGUCGUAGUCUUAACCAUAAACUAUGCCGACUAGGGAUCGGGCGAUGUUGUUUCCAUGACUCGCUCGGCACCUUAU